UCUCCCCCUCUCCCCUACCUAUUGCCCUCCACUUGGAUAUUAAUUGAUCGUGAUCAAUGGCCUUGAUCAUAUUGUUACUCCUCAAAUCGAAGUGGCUUUUGAUCUUGCUUGUUGUUUUAUAGGUCUCUAUAUGAUUUUACUAUUGGGCCAAUGACAAUCCAUAAUAGAUCUGACCCAAACAAAUUGAGCCAUCAUUGACUUGGAUU
rnacentral:lncRNA from 1 species